AAGGGCCAUCGCUCAACGGAUAAAAGCUACCCCGGGGAUAACAGGCUUAUCUCCCCCAAGAGUUCACAUCGACGGGGAGGUUUGGCACCUCGAUGUCGGCUCAUCGCAUCCUGGGGCUGUAGUCGGUCCCAAGGGUUGGGCUGUUCGCCCAUUAAAGCGGUACGCGAGCUGGGUUCAGAACGUCGUGAGACAGUUCGGUCCCUAUCCGUCGUGGGCGUAGGAAAUUUGAGAGGAGCUGUCCUUAGUACGAGAGGACCGGGAUGGACAUACCUCUGGUGUACCAGUUGUCGUGCCAACGGCAUAGCUGGGUAGCUAUGUGUGGACGGGAUAAGUGCUGAAAGCAUCUAAGCAUGAAGCCCCCCUCAAGAUGAGAUUUCCCAACUUCGGUUAUAAGAUCCCUCAAAGAUGAUGAGGUUAAUAGGUUCGAGGUGGAAGCAUGGUGACAUGUGG
rnacentral:rRNA from 1 species